rnacentral:tRNA from 2 species
AGGGGCAUAGCUCAAUUGGUAGAGUGGCGGUCUCCAAAACCGCAGGCUGCGGGUUCGAGCCCUGCUGCCCCUG